rnacentral:rRNA from 1 species
UCCUACGGGAGGCAGCAGUGGGGAAUUUUGGACAAUGGGCGAAAGCCUGAUCCAGCAAUGCCGCGUGUGUGAAGAAGGCCUUCGGGUUGUAAAGCACUUUUGUCCGGAGAGAAAUCCUUGGCUCUAAUACAGUCGGGGGAUGACGGUACCGGAAGAAUAAGCACCGGCUAACUACGUGCCAGCAGCCGCGGUAAUACGUAGGGUGCGAGCGUUAAUCGGAAUUACUGGGCGUAAAGCGUGCGCAGGCGGUUUGCUAAGACCGAUGUGAAAUCCCCGGGCUCAACCUGGGAACUGCAUUGGUGACUGGCAGGCUAGAGUAUGGCAGAGGGGGGUAGAAUUCCACGUGUAGCAGUGAAAUGCGUAGAGAUGUGGAGGAAUACCGAUGGCGAAGGCAGCCCCCUGGGCCAAUACUGACGCUCAUGCACGAAAGCGUGGGGAGCAAACAGGAUUAGAUACCCUGGUAGUCCACGCCCUAAACGAUGUCAACUAGUUGUUGGGGAUUCAUUUCCUUAGUAACGUAGCUAACGCGUGAAGUUGACCGCCUGGGGAGUACGGUCGCAAGAUUAAAACUCAAAGGAAUUGACGGGGACCCGCACAAGCGGUGGAUGAUGUGGAUUAAUUCGAUGCAACGCGAAAAACCUUACCUACCCUUGACAUGGUCGGAAUCCCGCUGAGAGGUGGGAGUGCUCGAAAGAGAACCGGCGCACAGGUGCUGCAUGGCUGUCGUCAGCUCGUGUCGUGAGAUGUUGGGUUAAGUCCCGCAACGAGCGCAACCCUUGUCCUUAGUUGCUACGCAAGAGCACUCUAAGGAGACUGCCGGUGACAAACCGGAGGAAGGUGGGGAUGACGUCAAGUCCUCAUGGCCCUUAUGGGUAGGGCUUCACACGUCAUACAAUGGUCGGAACAGAGGGUUGCCAACCCGCGAGGGGGAGCUAAUCCCAGAAAACCGAUCGUAGUCCGGAUUGCACUCUGCAACUCGAGUGCAUGAAGCAGGAAUCGCUAGUAAUCGCGGAUCAGC